rnacentral:lncRNA from 1 species
AUGGAACAGCUAUUUAUUUAAAAUGAAAAACUUCAUUUAAAUAUUACAAGAAUAAAACUAACAUCAUUGCUCACCGGCGGGAGAAUAAUACUCAAAUGAAUUUAAGAAAACAAAAAAGACUAAAUCGAAAUUUCAAAUUAUAAACGAUAUUUUCAUUUCUUAAAAUGUGGAGGAGAAUACUCACUGGAGAUAGAAUAAUAAUCUUUAAACUUCAUGACCAAGCGAAUUUUCGUUUUUUCUAUUGAAAUUCCAUGAAGUGAACAUUAACACUUUUUUAUGGAAAAAAAGGACAAUCAUACAGUGAAAUUUAGGUUUUAC